AGCAGGAGCCCAGCUGCCACCCAAGCAAGAACAGACAGAGGGGCUCCUUUCCUUUGCUGCAGAGCUCCGGAGGAGCAUCUGGUCCUCGCUCCGGUCCACAGGUUAAGUGACGGCCUGUGACAAGCCUCGGCACACACUGUGCCAAACUUAAAGGAGUCACAGCAGAAUCUGACAGGGCCACAGGAAGCUCGGUUGAAAAUGGAACUCGGAUACUGUGUCCCUUGUAUGCUGGCUGGGAAGGUUUGAUUCACCAAGAAAGAGCCUCGUGCCUGCAGAAAGAGAGAGAGAGAGAGAG